rnacentral:tRNA from 1 species
GGGACCGUGGGGUAGCGGUAUCCUCUGCCGAUGGGGUCGGUAGGACCUGAGUUCGAAUCUCGGCGGUCCCAC